GAGGGAGUAUUAUGGAAAGUUAACUACAGUGUACAUAUGUUCCUAAUUAAUUUAGGUUCCUACUUUAGAGCAUGACCAUAGGAGUUUAUAUUCCUAUUUACAACACAUAAUUGUAUAUAGAAAAGUGUAUAUAUAUGUACCAAAAUCAUUAUGAAUAAUCAAUUAGAAUUUUCUCAUUACAGGAUUAUUUGGAUAUACUUAUUUGAGGAUGUAAGACUUUUUUAGUGAUUGCACUAUUUUGAUUGGAAGCACAUUUAAAGGAGGGUGACUUCUCAAACUUAAGAAAUUUAUGUGUUUUAUCUCACAAUUUUUAAGUAAAGUGGUACUUAAUUUUAUAUAACAAUUACUUUAUGGAAAACAUAUUAGAUUAAUGGAAAAAUGGUAACAAUUCACGAAUAAAAGAUCAUAUAAAUUUUUGUUUUUUUGAAAAACAAUGUAAGGAGUUAUUUAUUUUUUUUAUUUAAUGUAAAUAUAUUUGUUGUUGUUAAUUUAAAAU
rnacentral:misc_RNA from 1 species